UGCCAGCCGCCGCGGUAAUACGAAGGUCCCAAGCGUUGUUCGGAUUUACUGGGCGUAAAGCGUGCGUAGGCGGCAAGGUAAGUCAGAUGUGAAAUCCCGGGGCUCAACCCCGGAACUGCAUCCGAUACUGCCUUGCUAGAGUAAUGGAGGGGCAUCUGGAAUUCAUGGUGUAGCAGUGAAAUGCGUAGAUAUCAUGAGGAACACUAGUGGCGAAGGCGAGAUGCUGGACAUUUACUGACGCUGAGGUACGAAGGCCAGGGUAGCGAAAAGGAUUAGAUA
rnacentral:rRNA from 1 species